UGAGUUGUCCAAUCAGUUUUCAAUUGAUACUGUUGGUAGUCAUGGAGCUGUUAAAUGUAAAGGCCUGAAAAUGGACUAUCAAGUUGGUGUCACUAUAGACCUGAGCAGUUUUAACAUUACUAGAAUUGUGACAUUUACCCCUUUUUAUAUGAUUAAAAACAAAAGCAAAUACCAUAUAUCAGUGGCUGAAGAAGGAAAUGAUAAAUGGCUCUCUCUUGAUUUGGAGCAGGUGGGUAGAUGAAUUUCAAAAAUAUACCUCUUUGGAUUGUAUUUUCUCCUUGAAGUUAGAUACCUAAAGUCACCAUGUAAUGUUUUAACUCUCCCCUUACUCCAAUUUUGUUUUAGUUUCCUGAAUCUUUAUUGAAUAUUUGUGCCCGGCUCUAGAUAGAU
rnacentral:sRNA from 1 species